GCUGAAACACCGGUUCUCGUUCGAUCACCGAAGUUAAGCAUCGUAGAGCCAGGUCAGUACUUAGAUGGGGACCGCUUGGGAACACCUGGUACUGUAAG